rnacentral:rRNA from 1 species
AACGAACGCUGGCGGCAUGCCUAACACAUGCAAGUCGAACGAGAACUUCGGGUCUAUUGGCGCACGGGUGCGUAACGCGUGGGAACCUGCCCUUAGGUUCGGAAUAACUCCCCGAAAGGGGUGCUAAUACCGGAUAAUGUCUUCGGACCAAAGAUUUAUCGCCUCUGGAUGGGCCCGCGUUGGAUUAGCUAGUUGGUAGGGUAAAAGCCUACCAAGGCGACGAUCCAUAGCUGGUCUGAGAGGAUGAUCAGCCACACUGGGACUGAGACACGGCCCAGACUCCUACGGGAGGCAGCAGUGGGGAAUAUUGGACAAUGGGCGAAAGCCUGAUCCAGCAAUGCCGCGUGAGUGAUGAAGGCCUUAGGGUUGUAAAGCUCUUUUACCCGGGAUGAUAAUGACAGUACCGGGAGAAUAAGCUCCGGCUAACUCCGUG